rnacentral:rRNA from 1 species
AGAAUUGUAAUUUGAAGAAGCGUUUUCCGCGUUUCGGUCGGCCCAAAUCCCUUGGGAUGAGGUAUCAUGGAGGGUGAGAAUCCCGUUCGGUUUACCUUAUGACGUUUUACGAUACGCUUUCUAA